rnacentral:rRNA from 1 species
UGAGGAAUAUUGGUCAAUGGGCGCAAGCCUGAACCAGCCAUCCCGCGUGAGGGAAGAAUGCGCUACGCGUUGUAAACUUCUUUUCCAGGGGGAGAAUUUUCCUGUCGAGACAGGGAUUGACGGUACCCUGGGAAUAAGCAUCGGCUAACUCCGUGCCAGCAGCCGCGGUAAUACGGAGGAUGCGAGCGUUAUCCGGAUUUAUUGGGUUUAAAGGGUACGUAGGCGGAUUGAUAAGUCAGUGGUGAAAUUCUGCAGCUUAACUGUAGACUUGCCGUUGAUACUGUUAGUCUUGAGUGUGGUCAAGGCAGGCGGAAUGUGUAAUGUAGCGGUGAAAUGCUUAGAUAUUACACAGAACACCGAUUGCGAAGGCAGCUUGCUGGGUCAUUACUGACGCUGAUGCACGAAAGCGGGGGGAUCAAACAG